GAUGAAGCGUUGAAUUGAAGCCCGAGUAAACGGCGGCCGUAACUAUAACGGUCCUAAGGUAGCGAAAUUCCUUGUCGGUUAAAUACCGACCUGCAUGAAUGGCGUAACGAGAUGGGAGCUGUCUCAACCAGAGAUUCAGUGAAAUUGUAGUGGAGGUGAAAAUUCCUCCUACCCGCGGCAAGACGGAGAGACCCCGUGGACCUUUACUACAACUUAGCACUGCUAACGGGAAUAUCAUGCGCAGGAUAGGUGGGAGGCUUUGAAGUAAGGGCUUUGGCUCUUAUGGAGA
rnacentral:rRNA from 1 species